UCCUAGAUUAUCUGAUACUUCCAUAGUUACAGUUAAUGUAAACAGAAAUUUACUAAGUCCCACAUUUACAUCAAGGUCAUAUUCUGGUAGUGUAAGUGAGGUAGCCUUAGUUGGUACAAGUGUGGCUACAGUUACAGCAACAGAUCUUGAUGAUAUGGCACCCAACAAUUUGGUACGUUACAGUAUGAGCGACAAUAACCAAGCUAGCUCAGAAUUCUUUAUGAUAGAUUCUGAAACUGGUAUUGUUGGAUUACGGAAACCUCUUAGAGAAGACAAUCAACGACAAUCUACAUUUACAUUUAAUGCACAAGCAAAUGAUCUAGGCAAUCCUCAACGAUCUGCUGAACCAUCUCUUGUAACGAUUACAGUGAAUAGAAACACGGCACCACCUGUAUUCUCUUUUCAACCAUACUCUGUUAGUAUUCCUGUUGAUAUGCAGACACGAACAUCAGUAUUCCAGACAACAGCCAGUGAUGCAGAUGUUGUUGCUCCAUUCAAUACAUUGUCCUACACUCUUAUUGGUGAUGAUAAAGCUCCAACAUUUUUCCAAGUUAGUCCAACUAAUGGUUUGAUCAGUCUGGUGCCCGGCAGAAGUUUAGCUGAUGAUACAGACAUUCUCUACACAGCUCGUGUAGUGGUUCGUGAUGGAGGCGAUCCAAGACUUUCUGCAACAGCCACAGUAAAAAUCACCGUAUUACGCAAUCGAUUUUCACCUCAGUUUGUACCCAAUGACAUUAUUCGUGUGACAAUACCUUCAACAUUACCAAGGGGAUCAUUUAUUACUGAUUUAAAUGCUACAGACGCUGAUA